GGGAACCUGGAGUAGGACAGACCAGUAAUGCCUGAGACUCUUGACUCCCCGUCCUGCUCCUCAAUGGUAUAUUGCAGUUCCUGAAAUGAACAGAAGGGGCGCCAUUCCUGCAUUCUUCCUGCUCAGUAAUGAAGCCCCUAGUGAAAGGACAUCACCUACAGUCUGAAAGCCCAAGUCUUCCUCCUGGGGAUCCAGGCUGAUGGAGCACCUAUAACUGGAAAAAUGCUGGUCACCAUGGAAAAGGAAAAAAGGAGCUUCUGCUUGAAAGUGACACUGCCCAGGGUCAGGAGCAAAUCAAAAUGUCUGAUAAUAUAAAGAGCAUAUAACUUAUCAUUUUAAAGCAUUUAGACGUGGAUAGAACUUUUGAAAUGCUUCACUGGAAUUGGAACAGUUUAUUCUUUGUUCUCAGAGCACAGAAGGUUAUAGGCCUCAGAGUUAAGAUCUAGUUCUUAUUCAAUGGUUAAGGAAAGGCAGCUAACAAGAUGGAAACUAACAAGAAUCCAUGUAUCAUUAUCGGGUUAGUUUUCCAAUACAGAGCUUUAUAACAGGUAUCGAUUCCAAAUCUAUAGCAAUAUUGUAGGUCUCAUCCUUGGGGUAGCUGGACAGAGUCUUGGGGUGGUGAAACUCCUGAGCCUAUUGUCUUUGGUAAUGACUAGCCUCACUCUUCUACUCCUGAAUGCUAUUGCUAAUAAUAAUUACAAAUAUUAUUAUUUUAUAUGUGCUGGCAAGAAACACUGGCUAGAGCAAUGGUUACUAUAUUCUGGAGACUAAUACUAGCCUAUGAACAUGUCUUUGCCAACCUAGUAUAGUGAGAAAAAUAAGUAAUAUUUAAUGAGUGCAAUUGACUGGAUGUUUAUGUUCCCUCAAAAUUCAUAUGUUGAAAUCUUGACCUAAUGUGAUAGUAUUUGGAGACUUAGGGGGUAAUUAGGUCAAAAGUGUGGAGCCCUCAAGAAUGAGAUCAGUGCCCUUAUAAGAAGAGGCCUAAUGGCCAUCUGUGAACCAGGAAGAAUGUACUUACCAAGAACCCAAUCAUUCUGGCAUCUUCAUCCCAGCCUCCCAGCCUCCAGAAUGUGAGAAAUAAAUAUUUGUUACUUAAGCCACUCAAUUUGUAGUAAUGUGUUAGAGAAGCCUGGAAUAAGACAGUGAGUAAGGUUUGCAUAAAACUUUUUAAUUCAAAAGGCUGUACUUGAUUUCAAAAUUAUACCCUUACUGUUUUUGAGAGAAAAUAAAUUUUUUGUAAAUUAAAAAUACACCAAAUACUGCUUAUUACCUAUCAGAUUGACAAAAAUUCAAAAGUUAAACAUUAAUAGCCCGGCCAGGAGGUCAAGAUUUGAUUCCCUGUCAGGCACAUGCCUGGGU